AACUGACAUGAUGAAUUUAUACCGCCCCAGUCUGAUGUUGUGAGUGAUUGGUUGUUCUGAAAGUU